AGUGAACGCUGGCGGUAGGCCUAACACAUGCAAGUCGAACGGCAGCACAGUAAGAGCUUGCUCUUACGGGUGGCGAGUGGCGGACGGGUGAGGAAUACAUCGGAAUCUACUUUUUCGUGGGGGAUAACGUAGGGAAACUUACGCUAAUACCGCAUACGACCUACGGGUGAAAGCAGGGGAUCUUCGGACCUUGCGCGAUUGAAUGAGCCGAUGUCGGAUUAGCUAGUUGGCGGGGUAAAUGCCCACCAAGGCGACGAUCCGUAGCUGGUCUGAGAGGAUGAUCAGCCACACUGGAAGUGAGACACGGUCCAGACUCCUACGGGAGGCAGCAGUGGGGAAUAUUGGACAAUGGGCGCAAGCCUGAUCCAGCCAUACCGAGUGGGUGAAGAAGGCCUUCGGGUUGUAAAGCCCUUUUGUUGGGAAAGAAAAGCAGCAGGUUAAUACCCCGCUGUUCUGACGGUACCCAAAGAAUAAGCACCGGCUAACUUCGUG
rnacentral:rRNA from 1 species